rnacentral:misc_RNA from 1 species
UCCGUAGGUGAACCUGCGGAGGGAUCAUUACCGAGUUCAUGCCCUCACGGGUAGAUCUCCCACCCUAUGUUAUCAUUACCUUUGUUGCUUUGGCGGGCCGCCAGGCUUCGGUCAGGCUACCGGCUCCGGCUGGUAAGCGCUCGCCAGAGGACCCCAAACUCUGAAUGUUAGUGUCGUCUGAGUACUAUCUAAUAGUUAAAAACUUUCAACAACGGAUCUCUUGGUUCUGGCAUCGAUGAAGAACGCAGCGAAAUGCGAUAAGUAAUGUGAAUUGCAGAAUUCAGUGAAUCAUCGAAUCUUUGAACGCACAUUGCGCCCCUUGGUAUUCCGAGGGGCAUGCCUGUUCGAGCGUCAUUACAACCCUCAAGCACUGCUUGGUAUUGGGCUCCGCUGCUAACCCAGCGGGCCUUAAAAUAAGUGGCGGCGCCCUCAGGCUCUGAGCGUAGUAAAUCUCCUCGCUAUAGAGUCCUGGUGGUGGUAGUCAUCAACCCCCAACUUUCUAAGUUUGACCUCGGAUCAGGUAGGGAUACCCGCUGAACUU